rnacentral:rRNA from 1 species
UGCCAGCCGCCGCGGUAAUACAUAGGGUGCAAGCGUUAAUCGGAAUUACUGGGCGUAAAGCGCGCGUAGGCGGUUUGGUCAGUCAGAUGUGAAAUCCCCGGGCUUAACCUGGGAACUGCAUUUGAUACUGCCAAGCUAGAGUAUGGUAGAGGAAAGCGGAAUUUCCGGUGUAGCGGUGAAAUGCGUAGAUAUCGGAAGGAACACCAGUGGCGAAGGCGGCUUUCUGGACCAAUACUGACGCUGAGGUGCGAAAGCGUGGGGAGCAAACAGGAUUAGAUA